rnacentral:rRNA from 1 species
AACGAACGCUGGCGGCAUGCCUAACACAUGCAAGUCGAACGAAACCUUCGGGUCUAGUGGCGCACGGGGGCGUAACGCGUGGGAACCUGCCCUUAGGUUCGGAAUACCUCCCCGAAAGGGGUGCUAAUACCGGAUAAUGUCUUCGGACCAAAGAUUUAUCGCCUUUGGAUGGGCCCGCGUUGGAUUAGCUAGUUGGUAGGGUAAAAGCCUACCAAGGCCACGAUCCAUAGCUGGUCUGAGAGGCUGAUCAGCCACACUGGGACUGAGACACGGCCCAGAAUCCUACGGGAGGCAGCAGUGGGGAAUAUUGGACGAUGGACGCAGGCGUGAUACAGCAGCGCCGCGUGAGUGAUGAAGGCCUUUGGGUUGUAAUGCUGUUUUAGCCGGGAUGAUAGUGACGGUAACGGGUGAAUAAGCACCGGCUAACUCCGUG